rnacentral:rRNA from 1 species
GUGCCAGCCGCCGCGGUAAUACAGAGGGUGCGAGCGUUGUCCGGAAUUACUGGGCGUAAAGGGCGCGUAGGCGGCUUGGUAAGUCGGGGGUGAAAGUCAGCGGCUCAACCGCUGGACUGCCUUCGAGACUGCCUGGCUUGAGCAUGGUAGAGGCUGGCGGAAUUCCCGGUGUAGCGGUGGAAUGCGUAGAGAUCGGGAAGAACAUCGGUGGCGAAGGCGGCCAGCUGGGCCAUUGCUGACGCUGAGGCGCGACAGCGUGGGGAGCAAACAGGAUUAGAUACCCGCGUAGUCC